rnacentral:rRNA from 1 species
GACGAACGCUGGCGGCGUGCUUAACACAUGCAAGUCGAACGGAAAGGCCCUGCUUGCAGGGUACUCGAGUGGCGAACGGGUGAGUAACACGUGGGUGAUCUGCCCUGCACUUCGGGAUAAGCCUGGGAAACUGGGUCUAAUACCGGAUAGGAGCCAUUUUUAGUGUGAUGGUUGGAAAGUUUUUUCGGUGUAGGAUGAGCUCGCGGCCUAUCAGCUUGUUGGUGGGGUAAUGGCCUACCAAGGCGGCGACGGGUAGCCGGCCUGAGAGGGUGGACGGCCACAUUGGGACUGAGAGACGGCACAGACACCUACGGGAGGCAGCAGGGGGGAAUAUUGAACAAUGGGCGCAAGCCUGAUGCAGCGACGCCGCGUGGGGGAUGACGGCCUUCGGGUUGUAAACUCCUUUUGCUAGGGACGAAGCUUUUUGUGACGGUACCUAGACAAGAAGCACCGGCUAACUACGUG